rnacentral:lncRNA from 1 species
AUUUGGGUGGGGACACAGCCAAACCAUAUUAUAUAGGAAACUUUUUCAAGAUUUUUUCAAAAUUGUUUUUGACCAAGUUUAACAUAGAUCACAGAUAGCCUACCUUACCAAUAUUCAAUGAGAGGGAGGAAUUUGAUUCAACCAAUAACAAGGAGCAUAGGUGAUGUUGCAUAGAAUCACAUUAUUUAUUAUAUUUACAGAAAAUAGCACCCUCAGACAUCUUAUCACC